UACGUAGGGGCGAGCGUUGUCCGGAAUCAUUGGGCGUAAAGCGCGUGUAGGCGGUCCGAUAAGUUCGCUGUGAAAGUCGGGGGCUUAACCCUCGGAUGCCGGUGAAUACUGUCGGGCUUGAGUACGGAAGAGGCGAGUGGAAUUCCUGGUGUAGCGGUGAAAUGCGCAGAUAUCAGGAGGAACACCGGUGGCGAAGGCGGGUCUCUGGGCCGAUACUGACGCUGAGGAGCGAAAGCGUGGGGAGCGAACAGG
rnacentral:rRNA from 1 species